GAGUGCCAGCCGCUGAGGCUGGCUUUUCCCCAGUGUAAAAAGCUGGGGGAAUAAGCGGGGGGCAAGUUCUGGUGUCAGCCGCCGCGGUAAUACCAGCUCCGCGAGUGGUCGGGGCGUUUAUUGGGCCUAAAGCGUCCGUAGCCGGCCCAGUAAGUUCCUCCUUAAAUCCCAUGGCUCAACCAUGGGGCUGGGAGGAAUACUACUGGGCUAGGGGGCGGGAGAGGCCGAGGGUAUUCCCGGGGUAGGGGCGAAAUCCUAUAAUCCCGGGAAGACCACCAAUGGCGCAGGCACUCGGCCAGAACGCGCCCGACGGUGAGGGACGAAAGCCAGGGGAGCAAAAGGGAUUAGAGACCCCUGUAGUCCUGGCUGUAAACGAUGCGGGCUAGGUGUUGGCUGAGCUUCGGGCUCAGCCAGUGCCGCAGGGAAGCCGUUAAGCCCGCCGCCUGGGGAGUACGGCCGCAAGGCUGAAACUUAAAGGAAUUGGCGGGGGAGCACCACAAGGGGUGGAGGCUGCGGUUCAAUUGGAGUCAACCCCGGGAACCUUACCAGGGGCGACAGCAGGAUGAGGGCCAGGCUAACGACCUUGCCCGACGCGCUGAGAGGAGGUGCAUGGCCGUCGCCAGCUCGUGCCGUGAGGCGUCCGGUUAAGUCCGGUAACGAGCGAGACCCUCGUCUCCAGUUGCGACCAGGACCCAUUGGGUCCUGGGCACACUGGAGAGACUGCCAGCGCUAAGCUGGAGGAAGGAGGGGGCUACGGCAGGUCAGUAUGCCCCGAAACCCCUGGGCUACACGCGGCCUGCAAUGGUGGGGACAAUGGGUUCCGAACCCGAAAGGGGGAGGUAAUCCCAUAAAACCCCACCUCAGUUGGGAUCGAGGGCUGCAACUCGCCCUCGUGAACGUGGAAUCCCUAGUA
rnacentral:rRNA from 1 species